GGGCGGUUACCGAAGUGGUCAACCGGGGCAGACUGUAAAUCUGCUGGCUCCGCCUUCGAAGGUUCGAAUCCUUCACCGCCCACCA
rnacentral:tRNA from 1 species